CUUGUCUGAUGUGUUUCCUGUCUAGCAGCUGUGUGGGUGUUGGCUCAGCUACACCAGAGCCCCGCUGGGAUCAGGAUUUCUCCUUUCUUAGCUGGUUCCUGCUGCUAGGGCAUGAGAGGCUGGGAAGGGAGGACUGGGCUGUCUCCUGCUUCAGCCAACAAAGUGAAUCAGACAAAGAAUGAGGCUGAACUCAUCAAGGGUGAGUGGGAGAGAGCAUCAUCAAGGUCUUUUAAAUCAGACAGGAUGCUGUAGAACCACAUGGACAUAAUCACAUAAUCAUGGUCCUUAAAGAAUUUUAAAUGUUUUUUUUCUUUAUCUGAUGGCUCCAUUGCAGACAGACUUGGCUGUGUCCACACCAGAGCAUGAGACCGUCACUGUUUUUUGGUUAUGUCAGUGAACUAUCUUCACUCCCUCCCACCAAGAAGCAUAGGAAUGUAUUCACCACCAGAUUAAAACCAGCAUCAAUUUGACUCUCUGCUCUACUGCACUCUAAGUUCUGUGAAUAUUAAUAGAAAUUUAUUUGUUGGAUGGUUGACUGCUUAAAUUCAUCUGCCGUUCCUCGGUUGGAGUCAUUCAGGCCAUUAAUGUUGAGCACGCGCCCACUCAAGUAGGGGCCAAGUGUAGGUCACAGGCAUGCAGCCAGUGUGUGUAACUAAAGGUCAGACUUGUAAAAUCCAGCACAUAAGAGAUGGUGUAAUACCGCCUAAAUUGAUGAUUUUGAAUAUAUUUUAGGUGCAAAGUGAUAUAGCAGCAGCUGAUUUUUCAUUCACAUUCAAUAACCUUCAAGCCCCAGGUCUAACAACCACCUUCCUGUGAGUGUCACCUACUGCUCCUAUGCUAUCCAUGCAGUGCAGGCGCCUCUCAUGGGUUCCAUCAUGUCAUCUGCAAUGGUGAGGUGCUACCAGGAACAUCACUGCAGAAGGGUGUGUAGUUAUCUGGUGACAGACUUAAUUAACUAUGUCAUGCAGUCACUGUGCAGUCAUAGACCAAUUACUUAACUUCUCAGGGCCUGUGCUUACUCAUUUGUAAGAUGGGGAUAAUAAUAACCUUGUAGAGCUGUUUUGGGUGAAAUGACUUCAAAGAAAGAGGUAAAGCUUUGGAAAAGCACCUGGAAGAGUGCAAAUGCCGAGUUAUCAAUUAUUGUUUUCAAAAGGAGUUGGACAAACUAAAUCACUUCAGUGAGAGCAUCAACGAUAAAUAAGUAAGCAGGGUGCAGUGGCUCAUGCCUGUAAUCCCAGCAUUUUGGGAGGCCAGGGUGGGUGAAUCACUUGGGGUCAGGAGUUCCAGACCAGCCUGG
rnacentral:lncRNA from 1 species